UUAAAAUACCAUCAAUAGGUUGUAUUUUAAAUAAUUUUCAUAAAACUGCUAUUUUUGGAAAGUUUUCAUUUAUUAAAGAAAUACUGUAAAUUUGAGUUUAUGAUUUAGAAAUUAGGAAUACAAGAAUAGUUGUGGUAGACGAGUAUUCUUUAAGAUUUUUUCAUCAAUAUGAUGUAUUUUUAAAUAUUUUUCUUAAAAACUGAUAUUUUUGGAAAGUUCUCAUUUAUUAGAGAAAUACUGUAGAUUUGAGUUUAUGAUUCAGAAAUUGGGAAUACAAGAAUAUUUGUGGUAGACGAGUAUUCUUUAAGAUUUUUUUCAUCAAUAUGAUGUAUUUUUAAAUAUAUUUUUUUAAAACUGCUAUUUUUGGAAAGUUUUCAUUUUUUUGAGAAAUAUUGUAGAUUUGGGUUUAUGAUUAAGAAAUUAGGAUAACAAGAAUAUUUGUGGAUAGUUGAGUAUUUUUCAGAAUUUUUUAUCAAUAGAUUGUAGUUUUUAAAUAAAUUUUCGUUAUAGCUACUAUUUUUGGAAAGUUUUCAUUUAUUAGAGAAAUGUUGUAGAUUUGGGUUUUGUGAUUUAGAAAUUAGGAUAACAAGAAUAUUUUUGUAUAGAUUAGUAUUCUUUCAGAAUUUUUCAUCAAUAUUUUGUAUUUUUAAAUAAUUUUCUUAACAACUGCUAUUUUUGGAAAGUUUUCAUUUAUUGUAGAAAUACCGUAGAUUUGGGUUUUGUGAUUUAGAAAUUAGGAUAACAAGAAUAUUUUUGUUUAGUUUGUAUUCUUUCAGAAAUUUUCAUCAAUAUUUUGUAUUUUUAAAUAAUUUUCUUAACAACUGAUAUUUUUGGAAAGUUUUCAUUUAUUUGAGAAAUAAUGUAGAUUAGGGUUUGUGAUUUAGAAAUUGGGAUAACAAAAAUAUUUGUGGAUAGAUGAGUAUUAUUUAUCAGUUUUUAUCAAUAGGUUGUAUUUUUAAAUAAUUUUCUUAAAAACUGCUAUUUUUGGAAAGUUUUAAUUUUUUUGAAAAAUAUUGUAGAUUUGAUAUUGUGAUUAAUAAAUUCGGAUAACAAGAAUAUUUUCGGAUAUAUGAGUAUUCUUUAAAUAAAUUCAUCAAUAUGUUGUAUUUUUAAAUAAUUUUCUUAAAACUGCUAUUUUGAGAAAGUUUUCAUUUAUUAGAGAAAUACUGUAGAUUUGAGUUUAUGAUUCAGAAAUUAGGAAUACAAGAAUAUUUGUGGUAGACGAGUAUUCUUUAAGAUUUUUUUCAUCAAUAUGAUGUAUUUUUAAAUAUUUUUCUUAAAAACUGCUAUUUUUACAAAGUUUUCAUUUUUUUGAGAAAUAUUGUAGAUUUGGGUUUAUGAUUUAGAAAUUAGGAUAACAAGAAUAUUUGUGGAUAGUUGAGUAUUUUUUCAGAGUUUUUUUAUCAAUAGAUUGUAGUUUUUAAAUAAAUUUUCGUUAAAGCUACUAUUUUUGGAAUGUUUUCAUUUAUUAGAGAAAUAUUGUAGAUUUGGGUUUUGUGAUUUAGAAAUUAGGAUAACAAGAAUAUAUUUGUAUAGAUUAGUAUUCUUUCAGAAAUUUUCAUCAAUAUUUUGUAUUUUUAAAUAAUUUUCUUAACAACUGCUAUUUUUGGAAAGUUUUCAUUUAUUAGAGAAAUACCGUAGAUUUGGGUUUUGUGAUUUAGAAAUUAGGAUAACAAGAAUAUUUGUGGAUUGAUGAGUAUUCUUUCAGACUUUUUCAUCAAUACGGUGUAUUUUUAAAAUAAUUUUCUUAAAAACUGCUAUUUUUGGAAAGUUUUAAUUUAUUAGAGAAAUACUGUAGAUUAGGGUUUGUGAUUUAGAAAUUGGGAUAACAAAAAUAUUUGUGGAUAGAUGAGUAUUAUUUCUCAGUUUUUCAUCAAUAGAUUGUAUUUUUAAAUAAUUUUCUUAAAAACUGCUAUUUUUGGAAAGUUUUAAUUUUUUUUGAAAAAUAUUGUAGAUUUGAGAUUGUGAUUAAUAAAUUCGGAUAACAAGAAUAUUUUCGGGUAGAUGAGUAUUCUUUAAAUAAAUUCAUCAAUAUGUUGUAUUUUUAAAUAAUUUUCUUAAAACUGCUAUUUUGGGAAAGUUUUCAUUUAUUAGAGAAAUACUGUAGAUUUGAGUUUAUGAUUCAGAAAUUAGGAAUACAAGAAUAUUUGUGGUAGACGAGUAUUCUUUAAGAUUUUUUUCAUCAAUAUGAUGUAUUUUUAAAUAUUUUUCUUAAAAACUGCUAUUUUUACAAAGUUUUCAU
rnacentral:lncRNA from 1 species